CAGGGAAUAUUUUUGCUGUUCUGAUUUUGUAAUAAUCAGGACAGACUAAAAAUUGGCUAUGUCAAGACCACGCAUGUGUCCCCAGACCUGGUUCUUUCCCUAGUCUGAUCAAGGCUGAUGAUAGAA
ensembl:snoRNA SNORA72 Small nucleolar RNA SNORA72